rnacentral:rRNA from 1 species
AUUGAACGCUGGCGGCAGGCCUAACACAUGCAAGUCGAGCGAGCGGCGGACGGGUGAGUAAUGUAUGGGGACUGCCCGAUAGAGGGGGAUAACUACUGGAAACGGUAGCUAAUACCGCAUACUAUCGGAUAACCCAUAUGGGAUUAGCUAGUAGGUGAGGUAAUGGCUCACCUAGGAGACGAUCCCUAGCAGGUCUGAGCGGAUGAUCAGCGACACUGGUACGGAAACACGGCCCAGACUCCUACGGAGGCAGCAGUGGGAAAUAUUGCACAAUGGGCGAAAGCCUGAUGCAGCCAUGCCGCGUGUAUGAAGAAGGCCCUAGGGUUGUAAAGUACUUUCAGUCGGGAGGCGUUACCGACAGAAGAAGCACCGGCUAACUCCGUGCGAGCAGCCGCGGUAAAUC